AUUGAACGCUGGCGGCAGGCCUAACACAUGCAAGUCGAGCGGAUGAAGGGAGCUUGCUCCUGGAUUCAGCGGCGGACGGGUGAGUAAUGCCUAGGAAUCUGCCUGGUAGUGGGGGAUAACGUCCGGAAACGGGCGCUAAUACCGCAUAUGUCCUGAGGGAGAAAGUGGGGGAUCUUCGGACCUCACGCUAUCAGAUGAGCCUAGGUCGGAUUAGCUAGUUGGUGGGGUAAAGGCCUACCAAGCCGACGAUCCGUAACUGGUCUGAGAGGAUGAUCAGUCACACUGGAACUGAGACACGGUCAAGACUCCUACGGGAGGGCGCAGUGGGGAAUAUUGGACAAUAGGCGAAAGCCUGAUCCAGCCAGGCCGCGUGUGUGGAAAAGGUCUUCGGAUUGUAAAGCACUUUAAGUUGGGAGAAAGGGCAGUAAGUUAAUACCUUGCUGUUUUGACGUUACCAACAGAAUAAGCACCGGCUAACUUCGUG
rnacentral:rRNA from 1 species